GUUCUGCUAUCAUUUCUUCAUAUGCUUCAUCUAUUGCCGGUUGUGAUUCUGCAAUGCCAAAGUUUCUUCUUUCCGCGCGGGUCCAAUCUCUAAAAAGCACUGAUUUUUCCAAGCUCUCCUGCAUCGACGCUCUAUGAUCAUCGAUUUGUAGUAUUGCUUGACUGAAAGCGCUCUCCGAUGCAACAGUUGAAGCUUGAAUUGACA
rnacentral:lncRNA from 1 species